rnacentral:rRNA from 1 species
GCCUACGGGGGGCAGCAGUAGGGAAUCUUCCACAAUGAGCGAAAGCCUGAUGGAGCAACGCCGCGUGGGUGAAGAAGGUCUUCGGAUCGUAAAACCCUGUUGUUAGAGAAGAAAGUGCGUGAGAGUAACUGUUCACGUUUCGACGGUAUCUAACCAGAAAGCCACGGCUAACUACGUGCCAGCAGCCGCGGUAAUACGUAGGUGGCAAGCGUUAUCCGGAUUUAUUGGGCGUAAAGGGAACGCAGGCGGUCUUUUAAGUCUGAUGUGAAAGCCUUCGGCUUAACCGGAGUAGUGCAUUGGAAACU